UUGUGCGAAUGAUCCUUUGACUUGAGAUAGUACUACUACUCAUAGUGAGGCUACUGAAAUUUGAUUGACACAUAAACAUGGAUCUCAAUAAACCCUUGUAAUGGAUAUUGACGACAGUUGAUCCACUGUAGGUGUAGGAUAUGCAUCAAGAUAGGAUCUAUCGACCUUGAUAGAGAGGAGUAGUGCUAUAAAAUUUGAAAAGCUAAGUUCGAGAGUCUG
rnacentral:lncRNA from 1 species